AGUGAACGCUGGCGGUAGGCCUAACACAUGCUAGUCGAACGGCAGCACAGGAGAGCUUGCUCUCUGGGUGGCGAGUGGCGGACGGGUGAGGAAUACAUCGGAAUCUACCUUUUCGUGGGGGAUAACGUAGGGAAACUUACGCUAAUACCGCAUACGACCUACGGGUGAAAGUGGGGGACCGCAAGGCCUCACGCGAUUAG
rnacentral:rRNA from 1 species